CGCGUAGGCGGCCAGGUAAGUCGGAUGUGAAAGCCCUCGGCUCAACCGAGGAUCCGCACCCGAAACUGCCAGGCUGGAGUCUAGGAGAGGAGAGCGGAAUUCCCAGUGUAGCGGUGAAAUGCGUAGAUAUUGGGAGGAACACCGGUGGCGAAGGCGGCUCUCUGGACUAGUACUGACGCUGAGGCGCGAAAGCUAGGGGAGCGAACGGGAUUAGAUACCCCGGUAGUCCUAGCCGUAAACGAUGGGCACUAGGUGUGGGAGGUAUCGACCCCUUCCGUGCCGCAGCUAACGCAUUAAGUGCCCCGCCUGGGGAGUACGGCCGCAAGGUUGAA
rnacentral:rRNA from 1 species